rnacentral:lncRNA from 1 species
ACUCAGCCCGCCUGCACCCAGGUGAAAUAAACAGCCUUGUUGCUCACACAAAGCCUGUUUGGUGGUCUCUUCACAUGGACACGAGUGAAAGUUACCAUGCUUGGUCCUGCUUCCCACUGUUAUAAUAGGUAGAUUGGCAGAUAAGAGCAGGACAAGAAAGGGCCCCGAAGAAGAUCAGAUGAUUCCCAGAUGACUGUCUUGUGAUUGUCAGGUGGGCUCCUCAGGCAUUAUAAGAGAGUGAGUGACCUCAGAAUGCCACCCCCACUUCCUGCCCAGAGGUACCCAGCAAAGUAACUUCAAGUGGCUAACCACAUUUCAUUGUGAAUUUCAAUACCAGUUUACCUAGGAAAAUGUAUUCCAGAUACAUCAAAAGGAGCUGAAUGAAAAAUAUCAUGUGUAUCCUUUUUAUAAGUUUAAAGUCAGAUUGUAAUGUAUUAGCAAUAGAUAGAAUACUUUAGACUUUUCUUUUUUGGUCAAAUCAUGUUUGAUUUGGUUAAUCUCAGUUGAACAGGAAUUUAACACCAGGUCUUUUAAGUGAAAUCAUUUCUAUAUUAAUGAGAUCCAGAGUGAUUCAACUAAAAAAAUGAUUAAAAAACUAAAGUGUCCCCUUGCUGUUAUUCAAAUGAAUGGAAGGAAAGAGGUGGUAUUUUUGAAGCUCACUCUCUCUCUCUCUCUCCCUCUCCCUACCAUCUUUUUCCCAGCCUAAUUGACUUGGAUCUGGCUCAUCUUGAGUAGGUUAUGUUUUCUUAUUGUAACAGCCUUUCCCCAGCAAAAUCAUUCCCCUCACUAAUGAGCUCCAUCCUCCUAUGAUAGGGAGAGAGUUUUAAAAACACCCACUGUUCUCACUCUUUCAUUUGAAUAGCACCAAAGGGGCACCUUUUCCCAUCAUUUCUAUCAGAGAGAUAGGGUUGGAUCUCAUUAAUAAAGAGAUGAUUUUACUCCAAAGAGCCCUCAGCAUUGAGCCCUAACCUAGAUUAGAACUUUGUUAAACACUGAGCCCCAGCCAUUGAAAGGUCCUCCUGAGCUGUACCCACACCCAGUGUCACCAGAGCCGAGAUUUCACCCAUUGAAGGAAUGGACAGCCAGGGUCAGGCUGUGCCCUCAGUUCCCAAACCUGCAGAUCCUAUGAUGCUCUUUGCCUGACAGGUCUUUCACCUUUAAUCAGCUGUAUUUCACCUGUAUUUCACAGUGGUCUUCUCAGACCUGACCCUUCAAACCCAGGGGCCUUCCACAAGCCAUGCAGCUCGGACUGAGAUGUAGGGGAAGGACUCCAGCAGAAGGGUUUCCCAGCCCUGUCUUCACUCCCACUCUCUGCUCCCUGUCACCAUGCCUUGCCAUCGUUCUUCUGGGUCUCAAUUUCUAUUCCUUCAUAGCCCAGUUCACUCCCAAACUCCUGUCUCUGGCCUGCUAAUUGCAGCAGACCCUCUGCCCCUGGGGUAAUGAGAGGCAGGUUAGAUGCAUAGCCCAAGACACCAAUGGCCCCAGAGAGCCGCUGACUUUGCAUGAGUCCUCUCUUAGCCACCCUCAUCUUUCAGGUGCCCUGAGAGCUUGGGAGAAAGCAGAGCCUGGUGGUUAGCAUGUGGGCUCUACAGUAUCCCAAUUUGGGUCCAAUCUUGCCAUUCAUGACCUUAGAUACAUGCCUUAUAUUGGAAAAGGUUAUGUGUUUCUUGUGUUUCUGCACAUCUUAUGAAUAAGGCACUGACUGCUCCUUGUUCAGGUCUAUCUGUCUAAAGUUGUUUAUAGGAUAGUGUUUCCCUCUAGAGGAAAGAGCUAGCAGCCUUACUGUUAAUUAUAAAACAUUUGGGUUUCCUAAGCUCAGAGAUCCUCUCUUGUAAUACGGGGAAUUGCAUAUGAAGGUGUCACUUGGCUCUCUUUGUGUCAUCCUGUGAGAAUUGGAGCUUAUGGGGAAGGUGCAAGAAAUACUGAUGCUCUGGCUACUUCUAUAACUGUGAUUAAAAAACUGUUCUGUAUCUCUGACCCAGGAAGCUUGUGUCUUCCGCCAGCAUCCAUGAAACUGCGACAGGCUCACUUGUUAGCUGUUUCACAGUUCUUGACAACUUGCUUAUUUUGAGCUUCAGCUUUCUAUGUGUAAAAUGGGAGAAUAAUAAGAAUACUGCUAUAAACUAAACAUUUACAUUUCUCUAAAAUUUGUAUGUUGAAAUCCUAACCCCUAAUGUGAUGGCAUUAGGAGGUGGAGGUCUUUGCAAGGGUGGAACCUUGAAAAUGGGAUUAGUGGCCUUAUAAAAGAGACCCUAGAGAGCUCAUUUGCCCCUUCUGCCAUGUGAGAAAACAGGGAGAAGGUUCCAUCUAUGAAACAGAAAAGAAACAUUCACUAGACAGUGAAUCUGCCAGCACCUCGAUCUUGGACUCUCCAGUCUCCAGAACUGUGGGAAAUUGAUGUGUGUUUUUAUAAGCCACCCAGUUUAUGGUAUUCUGUUACAGCAGCCUGAACUGAUGAAAACAAGUACCUCUCUUAGAAGGUAGUUGUAAAGAUUUAAUAUGAUAAUCAAUGUUAAUGAUGAUAAACAUUGGCAAAUAGUAAGCAUUAAAUUAAUGUUAUCUAAUUUUCAUUAUGUCACCUUUGCCUGUCACCUUAUUAUAGCAGAGAAGUCUGAUCAGAGGAUUUGAGAGAUCACUGUGGUCAGAGGGAACCCUGAUCUCAGCAAAAUAACCUAGUUCUAUUGUCAGAUACAAUGGUCAUACAGAUAGGAAACAUUCCUCUUUGGAUCACCAAUUGGAAGGAGAUUAGUGAUCACUUUCCCCUCCUUUGAGUUUCCAUCAGUAACUGCAGUGGACUGCGUCUUAUUUUAUUAUAGUCCCUAGCUAUGUGUAGGUACUUACUCAUAAGAUGGAACAUAUAAAUAUGAAUUUAGUUCCCAUCACCAGGAGGAAAUACCAUAUUGGAACAAUGUGCCCAUUCCCUUGCAUUUACAAUCAUAUUUAUCCUCUCUUAAAAUCUCUCCCUAGCUCCUUAUUGCUCUUGAGACAAAAAUCUAAACACCUCCCUCUUUAGUGCACUCUCCCACUCCUGCACACCCAUACUUUGUUAUUCCGAUGGGCCUCUAGACAGUCAUACAUUCUGUGUACUCUGCUUACAGUUCUCCAUCCUCCUUUGCCCUCAGUCUUAGUCUGUUUUGUGCUGCUGUAAGAAUAUACCUGAGACUAGGUAAUUUAUAAAGAAAAGAAAUGUAUUUCAAACACUUCUAGAGGCUGGAAAGUCCAAGAUCAAGUCACUUGCAGAUUUGGUGUCUGGUGAAGGCUGCUCAUAUGGUUUGGCUCUGUGUCCCCACCCAAAUCUCAUCUUGAAUUCUAAUCCUCAUGUGCCAAGGGGGGUACCUAUAAUCCUCACAAGUCAAGGGAGGGAAGUGAUUGGAUUAUGGAGGCAGAUUUCCCUCAUGCUGUUCUCGUGAUAGUGAGUAAGUUCUCAUGAGAUCUGAUGGUUUUUAUAAAUGAUAGUUUUUCCUGUGCUCUCAUUCCCUCUCCUGCUGCCUUGUGAAGAAGUUACUUGCUUCUUUGCCUUCCACUAUGAUGGUAAGUUUCCUGAGGCCUCUCCAGCCAUAUGGAACUGUGAGUCAAUUAAACCUCUUCUCUUCAUAAAUUACCCAGUCUCAAGUAUCUCGGGUAUUUCUUUGUAGCAGUGUGAGAAAGAGGACGAAUAUAGCUGCUCUCCACUUUCAAUAUGGUGCCCUUUGGAAGGGGAGAAAUGCUGCAUCCUCAUGUUAGAGAAAGUAGAAAGGCAAGCCAGCAGAAGGCUGCAUGAAGCCUCUUUUAUACAGGCAUUAAUCUCAUUCAUUAGGGGAGAAGCCCUAAAGACCUAAUCACCACUUAAAAGUCCUACCUCUUAAUACCAUUAUAUUGGUCAUUAAGUUUCAACAUCUGGAUUUUGGAAGAAACCCAUUUAUAUGACAGCCCUCCCCACUCUCAACUCCUGCAUCUGUUAACUCCUAUUCAUCUCUAAAAUGUCAGCUUAAUAUUACUUUCCUGGAAAGUUCUUUCUUACCCAGGUCCCAUGGGCCCCAGAGUAGCACAGUAUCCUUGCCAUGCAGCCCUCCAUCUGGUAUUAUUUCCUCUAUCUCAAGUUCCAUCACAUAAUUUUGAGGGGUAUUUAUCACUAAACCUGAUUUAGAAAGGUCAAAAUCAGAAGAUUAGGCAAAAGUAUACCAGAGAAACAUAAGUUAAGAUAAAGCAGGUUUUGCUGUGGUAGAUUUAAAGCAUGUCUGUAAAGCAUUUGAUACUUCUUCCAUCAAGAUAUGAAGCCCAAUAGCUGACUCAUCUAAUACAGUCUACUCUUCGUAACUUACUUCCUGUGAAAAAUUUAGGAAAAAAGGAUUCUGGGAGACUGUUGAAGGAAAUUCAUGAAGGGAAAUAUAGUUUCUGCUUGGCUGUUUCUUGGGACCCCUAAUCUUGGAACCCACAUGCCAUGCACUGAGGAAGCCCAAGCCACAUGUAGACGCAAUGUGCAGGUGUUCUCACUGAGACCUCCAGGUGAGGUCCAGCCAACUUUUGUCAUCCACUGCCAGUCAUGAAUAAAGAAGCUUUUGAGAUGACUCUAUCCCCCUUCUGGAGUCUGGGAAGUCUAAGAUCAACUUGCUUGCAGGUUCGGUGUCUGUUGCAGGCUGUUCUCUACUUUUAAUAUGGCAACCUCUGGAAUGGGAGAAAUGCUAGCAGCCCAAACCACUCUCUGCCUUCAGUAAGAAGAGAUACCCUGAAUGAGAACUACCCAGCAGAUCCUUGUCAAACCCAGACCCAUGAGAGAUUUGUAAUAAUAAUAAUAAUAAUAAUAAUAAUAAUAAUAAUAAUAAUAAUAAUAAAAUGUU